rnacentral:rRNA from 1 species
UGAACGCUGGCGGCGUGCUUAACACAUGCAAGUCGAACGGUAACAGCACCCCUUCGGGGGUGGCUGACGAGUGGCGCACGGGUGAGUAAUGUAUAGCUAACGUGCCCCAUAGAGGGGGAUAACGGCUGGAAACGGCCGCUAAUACCCCAUACUCCUUAUAGUAGAGACACUAUAAGGGAAAUGGAUUUUUCCGCUAUGGGAUCGGGCUAUAUGGUAUCAGUUAGUUGGUGAGGUAAUGGCUCACCAAGACAAUGACGCCUAGCUGGUCUGAGAGGAUGAUCAGCCACACUGGAACUGAGACACGGUCCAGACUCCUACGGGAGGCAGCAGUGGGGAAUAUUGCACAAUGGAGGAAACUCUGAUGCAGCAACGCCGCGUGGAGGAUGACGCCCUUCGGGGUGUAAACUCCUUUUGUAGGGGAAGAUGAUGACGGUACCCUACGAAUAAGCACCGGCUAACCCCGUGCCAGCAGCCGCGGUAAUACGGAGGGUGCAAGCGUUACUCGGAAUCACUGGGCGUAAAGCGCGCGCAGGCGGUUCGAUAAGUUAGAAGUGAAAGCCUACGGCUCAACCGUAGAACUGCUUCUAAAACUGUCGAACUAGAGUCUGGGAGAGGUAAGUGGAAUUAGUGGUGUAGGGGUAAAAUCCGCAGAGAUCACUAGGAAUACCAAAAGCGAAGGCAACUUACUGGAACAGUACUGACGCUGAGGCGCGAAAGCGUGGGGAGCAAACAGGAUUAGAUACCCUGGUAGUCCACGCCCUAAACGAUGGAUGCUAGUCGUUGGAGUGCUAGUCACUCCAGUGAUGCAGCUAACGCAUUAAGCAUCCCGCCUGGGGAGUACGGUCGCAAGAUUAAAACUCAAAGGAAUAGACGGGGACCCGCACAAGUGGUGGAGCAUGUGGUUUAAUUCGAAGAUACGCGAAGAACCUUACCUGGCCUUGACAUCCCGAGAACCCUCCAGAGAUGGAGGGGUGCCCCGUUUGGGGAGCUCGGUGACAGGUGCUGCACGGCUGUCGUCAGCUCGUGUCGUGAGAUGUUGGGUUAAGUCCCGCAACGAGCGCAACCCUCGUGUUUAGUUGCUAACGCUUAGGGCGAGCACUCUAAACAGACUGCCUCCGCAAGGAGGAGGAAGGUGAGGACGACGUCAAGUCAUCAUGGUCCUUACGGCCAGGGCGACACACGUGCUACAAUGGGAAGGACAAUGAGAUGCGAUACCGCGAGGUGGAGCAAAUCUAUAAACCUUCUCUCAGUUCGGAUUGUAGUCUGCAACUCGACUACAUGAAGCUGGAAUCACUAGUAAUCGUGGAUCAGCCAUGCCACGGUGAAUACGUUCCCGGGUCUUGUACUCACCGCCCGUCACACCAUGGGAGUUGAGUUCACCCGAAGCAGGGAUGCUAAACUGGCUACCUGCCACGGUGGGCUCAGCGACUGGGGUGAAGUCGUAACAAGGUAACCGUAGGAGAACCUG